CCCGUCACGUCAUGGAAGCUGGUAACACCUGAAGCCGGUGGACUAACUCUCGCAAGAGAGGAGUAGCUGUCGAGGGUGGGAUUAGUGACUGGGACG
rnacentral:rRNA from 1 species